rnacentral:rRNA from 1 species
CCUACGGGUGGCAGCAGUGAGGAAUAUUGGUCAAUGGGCGCGAGCCUGACCCAGCCAAGUAGCGUGAAGGAUGACUGCCCUACGGGUUGUAAACUUCUUUUAUAAAGGAAUAAAGUGAGGCACGUGUGCCUUUUUGUCUGUACUUUAUGAAUAAGGAUCGGCUAACUCCGUGCCAGCAGCCGCGGUAAUACGGAGGAUCCGAGCUUUAUCCGGAUUUAUUGGGUUUAAAGGGAGCGUAGAUGGGUUGUUAAGUCAGUUGUGAAAGUUUGCGGCUCAACCGGAAAAUUGCAAUUGAUACUGGCAGCCUUGAGUACAGUUGAGGUAGGCGGAAUGCGUGGUGUAGCGGUGAAAUGCUUAGAUAACACGAAGAACGCCGAUUGCGAAGGCAGCUUACUAAACUGCCACUGACAUUGAUGCUCGAAAGUGUGGGGAUCAAACAGGAGUAGAUACCCGAGUAGGC